GUCAAUUUUCUAUACGUUCCUUGCCUCGAUGGACCGACUAAGCCAGAGCCGAGGCUGAUUAAACCCGUGAGGAGCUUACGAUG
rfam:Moritella viscosa genome assembly, chromosome: 1